AGAGUUUGAUCCUGGCUCAGAAUGAACGUUGGCGGCGUGGAUUAGGCAUGCAAGUCGAGCGAGAAUUUUUGAAUUGAAACUUCGGUCGAGAUUCGAAAAGGACAGCGGCGAAAGGGAGAGUAACGAGUAGAUUACGUACCCAGGGGUUCGGAAUAGCGGGGGGAAACCGCCGGUAAUGCCGAAUAAUGUCUCCGGACCAAAGAUUUAUUGCCCUUGGAGCGGUCUGCUUACUAUUAGCUUGUUGGUGUGGUAAUGGCGCACCAAGGCGAAGAUGGUUAGCGGGUGUGAGAGCAUGGCCCGUCUCACUGGGACUGAGACACUGCCCAGACACCUACGGGUGGCUGCAGUCGAGAAUCUUCCGCAAUGGACGAAAGUCUGACGGAGCGACGCCGCGUGCGGGAUGAAGGCCUUCGGAUCGUAAACCCCUGUCGAAUGGGACGAAAGACUCGCGAGUUAAUACUCCGCGAGAGUGACGGUACCGUAAAGGAG
rnacentral:rRNA from 1 species